CAUGUACUCCCUCCGUCCGUAAAUACUUGUCCAAGGAAUGGAUGUGUAGAUGUAUUUUAGUUCUAAAUACAUCCAUUUGUAUCCAUUUUUCCGACAAGUAUUUCCGAACGAAGGGAGUAUAUA
rfam:Triticum urartu cultivar G1812 contig116681, whole genome shotgun sequence.